rnacentral:rRNA from 1 species
CCUACGGGAGGCAGCAGUGGGGAAUUUUGGACAAUGGGGGAAACCCUGCUCCAGCGACGUCGCGUGAGUGAAGCAGUAUUUCGGUACGUAAAGCUCUAUCAGUAGGAAAGUAAAUGACGGUACCUGACUAAGAAGCCCCGGCUAACUACGUUCAAGCAGCCGCGGUAAUACGGAGGGGGCAAGCGUAAUCCGGAUUUACUGGGUGUAAAGGGAACGUAGACGGGGGCGAAAGUAUGGAGUGAAAUGCCGGGGACCAACCCCGGAACUGAACUGGAAACUGGGAAGCUGGAGUGCAGGAGAGGUAAGCGGAAUUCCUGGUGUAGCGGUGAAAUGCGUAGAUAUCAGGAGGAACCACGACGGCGAAGGCGGCUUACUGAACUGUAACUGACGUUGAGGCUCGAAGGCGUGGGGAGCAAACAGGAUUAGAUACCCCUGUAGUC